AUUUACUCAAAACCAUAUGAAUAAAACGAUACUUUACUCAGAGUAAGUUCGAAUUUCGAACUUAGCAUUUACUCUGUCAAAAGUAUUGUUUUCGUUUUGAUUAGGUAUCUGAGAAGAAAGCCAGCGGUGCACAGAAGAAACCCGUGCCGUUUUUGCCGGCUGAUAACGAAGCCACUAACCCCGGCGGAAGAUAACUGCCAGCAUCACAUCUUCCUAGGAUGCGUCGAUGAGCGCCACUUGGAGGAAUGGAUAAUAUGGAAUUAUGGAAUACGUCGAGGGAAAUCAACGAUGCGGAGCAAAACGAUCGGUCACCGCAAAGCCAUAAUCGAUGAGUGAUAAGCUUCAGUGGAAUCGGUACUGGAGGGCAAGUCAAAGCACCAGCGGAGCAAGAAACGGCAACAAAACCCUCCGAAUCAGCUACAAACGGGAAUAUCCGGUCGACACCGACGAACAUCGUUUCCAUCAUGGUCAUUGAACGUUUCCAUCCGCAUAUUGCACGGAAGGACUUCGGUGAGGACAUGCCACGACCAUCCCCAGGAAACUAACGUGUUGCUGCUAGUGUUGUUCCUGCGAUCGCUGUUGAAAUCCUCAUCGGGCUAAAUUGGCGUUAGAACAGGAUCGAGAUCCUUAGGGAUGGUGUCCGGUGUUGGAGGAUCUUUCUCGUGAUGAUUUCAUGAUAGACCGAUUUUCAUCAAACAUCCUUAAACGUAUUUAAAAACACACUUCAAAAAUCUUCUUACGAAUAGAUACUGGAACUCGA
rnacentral:lncRNA from 1 species